GUGGUGAUUCACUACGCAGAAUUUGCAACCAUGGGUUUAUGUAAUGUUAAUUUCAUUUUGUUUAAAUUGAAUGCUUUAGUGUACAAUUAAUGAUCUGAUUUGGCGAUAAAUUAUUUGCAGGUUUUCGAUGUCGAUAAAGAAACACUAUUUAUGACGAAAGGUUAUGUGAAUGUUUUGGCUGUAUGGCCGUACAAGGUGAUAUGGGUAACAGAUUCUUAACGUUCCGUCAUCAGCAUUACAAUUCAGUAGGGUUCUAACUACUAAGACCUGCCAAAUGCCAGCGUCAUAUGUGGGUACAGAAUAUCUGCUACUCGCAAACGAUAUUCUUUCAUCAGCAUCACAAAUCUUACGAUAUAUUAAGUCAACCUUCAAAAUAUUUAAGUAGUCAAAUAAAUAAUACUUACUACUUCAAUAUUAAUAGAGUAAUAACCCUUCCGAUUCAUAUAAAU